UGAGACCACAGAGGCAGGUAUACAACUAGAGAUUCACCAGUAGUGUAAAUAUGAAAAUCUUCAUAUAUUAGAGUCUGUGGUAUCUCAUGAAUAAGUCCAAUCAUAACAUUUCUUUGCCUGCUUUCUUAUUAUGUGACUAUAAAAAGAUGUCAACAGUGCAUUUAAAUUUUCCUGCAGAGAGGAAAUAUGCAGAUCACAAUGAAGCUAUUACCCCUGUAUGCACACAAGUUGAACCUAACGGCAUUAAAAGAAAAGGACAAGCUGUGAAACGCCUAGAUUCCAGAGCAACAGACUGUGAUCCAUUCCCAACAACCCCUCCCUACCGUCUGCCACCAGUUCCCUUAAAGCAGGAAUCAGAGCUAGACUGACUCAACUAAGAAUUGUUUUGGAGAACUUGAAACUCAACAUUCCAUAAAGUAAGUGUAAUAUUUUUUCUAAAGAAUUUUAUCCUCCUUUCACUAACGUCAUUCAAGUUUUAUCACCAAUAGCUCUAUAAACAUCAGCCUGAAGGCACAUGGAAGCAUAUUUCCUAAGGCUGCUAAAGCAUUCAUUCUCAACCCUAACUGAACAGUAGUAUAUGCUGCCUUGCAAUGAGGUUAAUAAACAGGGCAUAGAAGGUCAAGGAUUCUAAGCCAGGAGCAAAUCCCACACCGUUCAACUUAAGCAGUACAUUAUUCCAGAAUAAUGCAAUCACUGGAGCUGUGCUUACACUACAAAUCUUAAAAGUGUCAUUCCAUUAUAAAAAGGGCUUUGAGAGCAUUAAUAAUCAUAGUCCAUCAGGAAAGUCCUUCAUUCAACUCAUGGUCCAAUCAAAACUGCCUUAAUGUUAUAGACUUUGGUAUGGCCUAUGUAGCAUCUAAAAUUAUUUGCUACAUUGAAUUUAUUACUGUGUUUGGCUGACUUUUUUUUUUAACUCAAGACAUGCUGAUAACUUUUAUGCUAAGGAAGGAGAAGGCAAAACAAAAGCAUGAUGGAAAGUGUAAAGAUUGGACUGCAGGAGAAGAUAUGUGAAUACUUUGAUUAUCCUGUUUGAUAUUGCC
rnacentral:lncRNA from 1 species